UACGUAGGGUGCAAGCGUUGUCCGGAAUUAUUGGGCGUAAAGAGCUCGUAGGCGGUUUGUCGCGUCUGCUGUGAAAACUCAGGGCUUAACCCUGAGCCUGCAGUGGGUACGGGCAGACUAGAGUGUGGUAGGGGGAGAUCGGAAUUCCUGGUGUAGCGGUGGAAUGCGCAGAUAUCAGGAGGAACACCGGUGGCGAAGGCGGAUCUCUGGGCCAGUAACUGACGCUGGAGGAGCGAAAGCAUGGGGAGCGAACAGGA
rnacentral:rRNA from 1 species